rnacentral:rRNA from 2 species
GACGUAGGGUGCGAGCGUUGUCCGGAUUUAUUGGGCGUAAAGAGCUCGUAGGCGGCUCGUCGCGUCGGUUGUGAAAACUCUAGGCUUAACCUGGAGCUUGCAACCGAUACGGGCGGGCUAGAGUUCGGUAGGGGAGACUGGAAUUCCUGGUGUAGCGGUGAAAUGCGCAGAUAUCAGGAGGAACACCGGUGGCGAAGGCGGGUCUCUGGGCCGAUACUGACGCUGAGGAGCGAAAGCGUGGGGAGCGAACAGG